ACGGAGGCGAUGUAGUUGUCUUCAAAAAGUAUUUUUCUCAAAACGCUUCCUUUCCUGAUGAUCUGAUUAUUGUUUCUUAUUUUACCAUAACAGAAUGGAUACUACAUGACCAUAAUAAGAAACUAAUUCUCUGGGGUGAUAAUGCGCGCCAUGGAUGGGAUCCCUGAGCUUAGUGGGGGAGGUUGUGCGGAGGGAGUCUUGGCACUGGAACAGUGGCUUUCACUUGCCGGAAAUCUAGGCCCACAACUGUGGAAGCUUCUCUGCCCUGAAGACUUCAGUUGGUAGUAUUCGCACCUGGAUUUACAAAGUUGUGGGUUCAAGAACCUGAGGCUUGAACAUCAAAGUAGAAGGAAAUCUGUGCAAUGUUGUAUUGUCAAAAGUGCUGCCUUUCAGUUAGGAUGUGACGGCACAAUCCGUUCUACAUGAUGGAUGACCCUCCAGAAGUUUGAUCCUUGUUUUAGCAAUUUGCAUAGGUGGCCUGGCUAUGCCUGAACUACACUGAAGAGAAUCUGCAUUGACUGAAUCUGAUAUGUGCUACAAUAGAACGAAGUGUCAUCUAUAAUCUGAAGACUCUGUAACCAGAUAUGCAGUUGACUUUGUCUUGGUGCACAUUCUUGGAUGACAAUAGUGUUUCCCAAGUUACAAUAUAACCAACAAUUAAUAAAAUUUUGGUUUUAAAUCUG